UACGUAGGGGGCUAGCGUUGUCCGGAAUCAUUGGGCGUAAAGAGCGUGUAGGCGGCCCGGUAAGUCCGCUGUAAAAGUCAAAGGCUCAACCUUUGAAUGUCAGUGGAUACUGCCGGGCUAGAGUCCGGAAGAGGCGAGUGGAACUCCUGGUGUAGCGGUGGAAUGCGCAGAUAUCAGGAAGAACGCCAACGGCGAAGGCAGCUCGCUGGGACGGUACUGACGCUGAGACGCGAAAGCGUGGGGAGCGAACAGG
rnacentral:rRNA from 1 species